AGCAGGUGGCAUAGCAAGAUCCCAUCUCAAAACAAAGAAGCAGAUGGAUGCUGACUAGGCUUACAUCAGGAAUGCCAUAGAGGCUACUCAGGGCCUUUCUGAGUUACUGUGGCUGGCUUUGAACUUGUAAUUCUCCUUCCUUGGCCUCCUCAGCAGCUGGGAUUACAGGAAGGCCUGUGCCACCUCACCCAGCCAGGGGGUCUCUCACAUUUCCACUGUCCCUAGACUCCGGGUCCCACUGCUCUCCUUCAUUUCCUGAAAGUUAAUAAGACUGCUCUGGAAGGCAGGCAGAUCUAAGUCCAUCAGAAAGCCCCCUGAAGCAUUCCUAGUCCCAUCCUCACCACCCUCAUGCCAGGGUCAGGAGAUCAGACAGUGUGAAUGAAAAGGCCUUGGACUUGCAUCCAGCUUUGGGCUCUGUAGAAGGGACCAGGGAAACUGAAGCCUCAAAGAAACAGUGCCCAUACUGUUGUCCACAUUGGACCUUCCUGACUUUGGAGUACCCACCUGAGUCUCCUUCCCUGUGCACUGCCUGAGAGGCACACAGCCCAGCUUAGCCGCUGUCCUGUACUUUUUUCCUCAGGCAGCCCUUGAUCUUCUCCAUGAGGAGAGCAGGCUGGUGUCAUGUGCAGGCCCAGCGCUCACAGUGGGCAGGCUUGUGUGGUGUCUGUGAGGCUCAGGGAGGAUGUUCCAAGCCCUGAGACCUGAGAGCAGGCUAGUGUUAUGUACAGGCCCAGCAAUCACAGUGGGCAGGCUGGUGGGGUAUCUGUGAGGCUCAGGGAAAAGGUUCCAAGCCCUGAGACCUGAGGGCUCUGUACAGGCUCCCUAACCAUCAGGAUCCUGUCCUGACUCCUGCCACAUCGCCCCCAGUCACCUCCACCAUGGAUCCCAGCCACACCUCACCCAAGUCACCAUGAGCCAGCUCGCCCUGCUCCUGCCCAGUUUCUUUGCUGGAGGCACCUCUCCUAGCCACAGCAGAAGGGAAGAGCUGAAGGAGAAAGCUCACCUGCUCUCUUGAUCUGGAGGCCUCUCCCCACCUCAAGGCCCUCACUUGCUGCUGCUUUUUCUUCUGGACUGCCUGGGGUUCAUCCCUAGGGGGUCCAGGUUGAGGUGCUCCACAACCAUGGUCAGAGAAAAGGUAAUGAAAAUUCCCUGCACUGGUUAGUACUUGACCCUUGACUGUGGGCCCUGGAUAAGUGGGUGAGCCAGGUACAGUGAUGCUCCCAGAUCCAGCACUCGGAGUGUCACCUCAGGCUGUGGCCUGGUCUCUCCAGCCUGACCUCAUCUGGAACCUGUGAUGUGAACUCACACCUGCCUCACGGUGCCACAGCCCUGAGAGUACCAGUAGCAAGCUCUCUCGCAUGUUCUCCCGCCUAAACCUAGUGCCACACGCCAUGCCUGCACAUCAGGGUCAUCAAAUACCCAUUUUCCAGAUGAGAAUCAGAGACGUAAAGGAAAACGGUGACUUCCCUCCCCUAGGAGUACAUCCCAUCUCAGCUAUGUUCCCCCCAUACCCUGGCACCACUAACUACAGUCCCAUCCUCUGAGCUCUCGAGGUGUGUGCAGGGCCCAGGAAGGCACAGCCAUGGUAGGAGAGGGGCAGGGUGUCCCAGGCAGGAUAAAUGGCCCCUACUGUCCUCACCCCAAACAAUCUUCAGAAGCAGGCCCUGAGGCCAUGUUCAACUUCACCUCCUGAGGGAGUUUGCAGAACGGAACACUCCCUCUCCACUCAGGAGGUGCUCUCCCAAAGGGCCUGUUCUCACUGAGGGGGCUGAGCUGAGGUUUUACUCUUUGACAUGGAAAUGUCUUAACAUCUGGUCAGGAAGGAUCCACUAAGCAUGCACAACCUCACAGAUACUCUCAUAAAACAUCUGACAAUUGCAUUGCUGCUAACGGGUCAUCAGUGUAACAGUCCUGGGAUGGUUACCCAGCAAGUCACCUGAGAAAUGACCAGUGGGACCCUUGUGCUGAUUCCUGUAUGGAGCAACCUCCCCGCAUGUCCUCCUCAGGUGGCCCUCACAGGUGGAGGGGCCAGUGCAGGAAGCAUAGGCAGACACUCUGUUUUCCCACUGCAGGCUUGUACACAAUGGCUGAUGCCCCCCAAGGAGAGGGUUGUGCCCUGUGGAUCCUGCCCCUGGGUGUCUGGCACUCCCUCUUCCAUUCACUCAUUCCGCAGAUACUCUCUGCCCUGCUUUGAGUCCAACACUGUGCUUCCCCAGCCAUCCUGACCCUUGUGAGUUUCCCAGGUGAGCUCAGGCCCACUGUGUAAAGGAGGAAGUACGGCCCUGGGGUAGGCAGGGAAGGUGGGCACCAAGAAUCACUCAUUUUAUUGUGUGGGAGGUUCACAAUUUCAGGAAGUGUCAGAGAUUGAUCAAACUGGUGUAUAGAUUCAACUCCAUCCCUAGGAAAUCCCAGGGAGGCUUUUUGGUUUUAUUAUUGCAGACUUUUACGAGUUAAUUUUACAAUCCAUAUUACUCCAUGAUGGCCAGUAACAAGUAUUGUCAAGGAUGUGCAGACAAGGAGACCCUUGGGGUUUGGGAAUGAGAAUGGGGGCACUGUGAGCACGCUGUGGAGCCCCAGGUGGUUUGACAGGCAGUUGCCCUGUAAGCAGGCAGCUCCUCGGUUGGACUGCAUCCUGGUUGAUGGAAAGGGCAGGCACACCUAGAUCCUGGGAACACUGAACAGCAGAACUCUUCAAGCAGCCCACAGUGGACGUAUUCCAGGGGUUCAUGAGCUGAACAGGUGAGUUUAUUCCAUCCCAGAGGGAACCUGAAGUCUGUCAGCCAAAGGAGAAACUAACUGGUCCACCACAGGGUGGGCUCCUUCAGCUGACAGACUUCAGCUCCCUCUGGGUUGGAAUCAAGACCCACCAUGUGAAUAGACCAUAGUGGGUGGGUGGCUGGGCUGACUGUGGGUUUCACAUCCAAGGCAGUUGUGGUUCUCUCCCUCCCUGGGGCAGGAGGCUGGCACUCUCCAUGCUUGGUGUUGUUAGGUGGUGUGGGCACCUGCUUCCUCCCUGCUAUAUUCAACUGAAGCAGGCAGAGGACCUCUCACCCCAUUUCCUUAGCCCUUGUGGAGGUGGUUUGGUAUGAACAGUUCUUCAACUAAAAGUCUUUGGGGAGUUGAUCAUCAGUCUUAGUGCCAUCUUGCUCUGCAUCCUCUGACCUAUUAUUUAUUUCCUUCCACUAGUGUUGGGUUGGUUUGCUGUCUCUCCUGGAACUUGAGACCAACAUCAGCCUUUUAUUUUGAGUCAGGCUUUGUUAAUGCACCACGUAUGGCUGCAUUCUUCCCUCUUGGUACUUCUUUGAGCAUUCUGUGAGUUUUCACAUUUUCACAUGUUGUGUUUCUGUUGUCAUUUGUUUCAGCACACUUACAAUUUUCCCUUUUUAUUUUGUCAAUGGCCUGCUAUUCAUUCAGUAGCAUGUUAAGUUUCCAUGAAUUUCUAUAGCUUCUUUUGAUGUUUAUUUAUAGUUUUAUUUCAUUUUGGUCAGAAAAGAUAUACAAUAUGAUUUAAAUUGUUUUGAAUUUCUUGAGUCUUGUUUACUCAGCCUUACCCAAUGUUAUGUGUUAAAAUAAGACCAGGAAGUUCACAAUUUUAUGAAGUACUGUCAUGUUCUCAUGAUGCCAGCUCCCCCGACUGGGCGGCAAGUCUGUCCUGAGACUUCCCUCCAGCUGGAACCCCGGGUUUGUGGACUGGUGGAGUUGGCUGGGUCUUCCCCUGGAAGGAGCAGACCCUGGAUGACUAGCCAGGUCACAGUUGCUGGGGGCUUGUUGCCCGUUCUGUGUGCUGUCCCUAGUCUCCAAGGCUCCCAAGGUCCAGCCUCUCCCUCCCUCAGCUACAGUUCUCACACAGUCACCUACCUCAAGAUGCAGCUUAUGCACCUACUACCUUGGUUUUUGGAGGAGGAGGGGAGCUUGCAGUUUCAAUUAGGCCAUCUUGGAACUUGUGAUUUUUAAUAUGCAGAAAUGCUUUUAUUUUCUCCUGGAUGAGUUCUGAGUUAGUUCCUCAAAUUUUCCUCCAGUUCACGAAUCUUCUCUUCAUCGGUGAAGAAGUCUGCUGCUUAAGUUUCCUAUUAGGUUUUAAAUUCAGUGAGAUUCAAGACAGUGGAUUAGAUAGAGGAAGAUUUCGUUCCUAGUUGCUCCAUGUCUUGGGAUUCAAGCAGCAUGAAUACUGCUGCUCCGUGAGAUGGGUGGAAGGAGAUAUCAUUGAAAUUCAUCAACAGACAAUCUUAGAGACUCAGAAACAGGUACACUGAACAAAGGACAAGAAAGAGUACAAGGGAGCCAAGCCAGAUGUAGAGCCAUGGGGCACUGGUUCACCUCAGAGGAGUGGGCUAGCACACAGAAAUAUGGGGACUGAUUGGCCUGGAAGCACCUGUUGAUCAGAAAAGCAGCUGAGCUUAGCUGAUCCAGAGCCUACACAGUGAAUUGGUCUUUGGAAAGUACUCUCAACCAGCAAGUGGAGAGCUGAGGUGGGGAGCCACCUGGGCAGACCUUGCUGCAUCCUGCUGCUGAGAGAACCCAGGAGACCAGAGCACACAUUCAUUCUCCUGAGCACCCACUGUGUGGCCAAGGGUGUACCACGCAAAAUGCGAGUGAAGUGGGCACAGAGAAGGUUGUACCCAGGGGCUCAAGUCAGAGACACAGUGGGAAGCCCAACUCACUCUCCCUUUGGGUCUGAGGGCUCCUGUGGCCAGCUGAAGAGAGACGGGAAACUGAAAAGGCAGGUGUGAAUGCCCUGGGGGACUAAGCCCAAGGCCUCACUGUGGCCAGCAGAGUGUGGAGGACUGGCUCCCUGCCCCAGGAGUAGGGUUAUUGGGGGGGCUCCUGAGAUGGAGACCCCAAUAGAGAUCAGCAACUGCUAGGCCCUAGUGGUGUGUUGAUCUAAUCUCUCCAAAGGUGGUAUCACCCAACAAAGCCCCUGAGACCUCUUCCUCCUCUUUCUCCUCCUCCUUCACUAAGCCCCAGCUGCAGAAAUCUCCACUUAGAACACUGUAGCAGCAGCAACACACUGGGAAUGUUCUAUCUGAUCUGUCUAGACAAAGGUCUAAUGAAAACAGCCCAGGCCAUCCUACCUUAUCCUGGACAGAAGGGGAGAUGAGAGCCUUUCAACCCACCUCAGCUUCAGGCCACUCCAUCUGGCAGCUGGGUGAGCACCAAAAGGGAAGUUAAGAACUCCUAGCUCACCCCCCAUCUAAACACAGCCCAAGGAAAAAUGGAAAGAACAAGGGGCAGAGGCAGUGAUCGAUAUCCAUUCUCAUGGAAAAUUUUUACCACCUCAGUGGGAAAAUUCUUUCAUUUUUCAUUAAGAAUUUUCCUCCUUCUUCUCCUCCUCUUCUUUCCCCUCCUCCUCCUCCUUUUCCUCCUUUUCCUCCUUUUCCUCUUUCCCCUCCUCCUCCCCCUCGACCACCUCCUCCUCCUCCUUUCCUCUUUCCCCUAUUCCUCCUCCUUUUUCCCCUCCUCCUCCUCCUCCUCCUCCCCUUUCCCCUACUCCACCUCCUCCUCCUCCUCCUCCUCCUCUUUCCCCUACUCCUCCUCCUCCUCUUCCUCUUUCCCCUACUUUUCCUCUUCCUCUUCCUCCUUUUCCUCUUUCCCCUCCUCCUCCUUCUCCUCCUCUUCCUCUUUCCCCUCUUCCUCCUCUUCCUCUUUCCCCUACUCCUCCUCCUCUUCCUCCUCUUUCCCCUACUUCUCUUCCUCCUCCUCCUUUCCCCUCCUCCUCCUCCUCCUCUUUCCCCUCUUUCUCCUUCUCCUCUUCCUCUUUCCCCUCCUCCUCCUCCUCUUCCUCUUUCCCCUACUCCUCCUCCUCCUUUUCCUCUUUCCCCUCCUCCUCCUCCUCCUUCUCCUCCUCCUCCUUUUCCUCUUUCCCUUACUCCUCCUCCUCCUCCUCUUCCCCCUACUCCUCCUCCUUUUCCUCUUUCCCCUCUUCCUCCUCCUCCUUCUCCUCCUCCUCCUCCUCUUCCUCUUUCCCCUCCUCCUCCUCCUCUUCCUCCUCUUUCUUCUUCACAUUUUCUUGCUGUGAUGAUUGGCUUGUGGAUAUAUAUACGCAUACAUAUCUGUUUCUUUUUUUUUUUCAUUUUUAGUGACAGUUUUCCUUGACUUUUGAAGAUUAAAGAAUUUUGUUUGUUGGUUUUGCUUUUGAUUGCUUGUUUCUCUUAUUUCACUUUCUCUCCUUUCUUCUGCUAACAGCCAAAUUCUAUUCUCUCUUUCUCCCUUUACUUUGCUUUUUUUUCUAUUUUUUAAAUUAUUCUUUGUAGCAUCACCUGCUACAUAUUCUCUACUUUCUCUCUUUUCACAUUUUGAGCAUUCUAAACUUUCUUUUACUUUCCUAUCACAUUUUAUUUUCUCAUAAUAAACUGUGUUUUAAAAACCUUUUAGAAUCAUUUGGUUUAUGUACCUUCUGCCCCCACCAUUCAUUUGCAGUUAUUAGUAUGGUAUUUGGCACCAGAUGAAUGGGGGAAAAAUGUAGUGGGUUUAUUUAGCCAUAAAGAAGAAUGAAAUUAUGCCAUUUGCAGGAAAAUGGAUGGAACUUAAGAACAUUAUGUUAAACAAAAUAAACCAGACUCAAUGUCACGUGUUGUCUCUCAUCUGUGGAUGAGAGGAAGAGGGAAAAGAAAGGUGGGAGAGGGCGGAGAUCUCAUGAAAAUCAAAGGGAGAUCAGUGGAACAUAGGAAAAGGAUACAUAAGGGAGGAGGAGAGGGAAACAGAAAUACUGGGGGUUGAUAAUGGCCAAAUCGUAUUAUUGUGUCAUGUGCAUAUAUGGAUAUGUAACAGCAAAUCCCACCAUUAUAUGCAACUGUAGUGCACCAAUAAAAAAAAUAACGAUGAAGAAUUUAAAUCAUGAAAAAAAUAAAGUCAGUGACAAUAAAUUUCACUUCUCUAGCCUUUAUUUCAUAUUCAUCUUUUGGAUAUAUUUUCUCUUUAACAUAUGGCUUUGAAAACUCAUUUUAAUUCUUUAAAUUAUGUACUUUCUCUGUUAGUUUAUCAUGAUUUAUUAUUGUUUCUGUUGUCACUGCUGAUUUUCUUCUUGCGGGUUUUUCCUUACUGGUUAAAUGGGUCUUUAGUAGGUCUUACCUCCCUGCCCUGCUGAGCCAGGUCAGCCCUGGAUUAUAGAUGAGCUUAUGGUAGGAACUUUGUGUGUUUGGGGCCUCCAAGUUCUCUCUUUGGGUAUCAUAGACAGAGAUGAUUGAUAGAUACAAAACAGACAAUAGGUAGGUAGGCAUAGAUGAUAGGUAGGCAGAUGUAGAUUUAGGUAAAAUACAGGUAUAAAUGUAGAUUUGUAGACACUGGUGAUGUUCAGCUCCUCAGCUUCUGGGUAGCGUGAAUCUGAGGCUGGGCCUGGCAUUUUCAUUUCCCAACCAGGUAUCUUUAUUUUCCACACAGAAUCUUCCUGCCUGCCUCCUAAAGAACUGGAGGAGCUUUCUCUGGUCUCUGCUGUGGGUGGGUGCUGAAUGUCCCCCACAGGCCCAUAUGUUAAAGGUUUGGUCCUGCGUGGCCCUAAGGAGAAGAAGUGGACACUUUAACGGGGCCUCACCCAAGGUCUUUGGUUCUUGGGGGCUGCCUGGUAGGAUCCAGCCCACUACUCCUACUCCUUCUUUCUGUGUCCUGGUGAUGAGAUGGGCAGCUGACUCGAGGAAGUGUCCACACACCACAGUCAUGGUGAUGAGCCAGUCUUCUCUCAGGGCAUGUUGAUGGUUUCAGAUGUUUUGCUGUGGUGAUGGAAAGGUGAUGAACACAGUCACAUUCACAGUGUGGACAGUCCAUCCUUGGCCUGAGAGUGGUGUAGGUGUCCUUCUUCCAGCUGUCAAUCUAAUCCUAGCCCAACUUAUGAUAAUGGCAACUGCAACCCGCCUGUCAGACUGUCUGCCUGUCCCACCCAGCCCAGGGAUGCUGCAGCCCCUGUCUCUGCACCUGAGUUCCUGCUUCCUGCUCUCAGCUUCAUCCUCACUCCUCUGAAGCUGCUUCCCCCUCAGUGUUGAC
rnacentral:lncRNA from 1 species